rnacentral:rRNA from 1 species
GCAGUCGCCGCGGUAACACGUAGGGUGCAAGCGUUAAUCGGAAUUACUGGGCGUAAAGCGUGCGCAGGCGGUGUUGUAAGACUGAUGUGAAAUCCCCGGGCUCAACCUGGGAACUGCAUUGGUGACUGCAACGCUGGAGUGCGGCAGAGGGGGAUGGAAUUCCGCGUGUAGCAGUGAAAUGCGUAGAUAUGCGGAGGAACACCGGUGGCGAAGGCAAUCCCCUGGGCCUGCACUGACGCUCAUGCACGAAAGCGUGGGGAGCAAACAGGAUUAGAUACCCGAGUAGUUCCUGUCUCUUAUAC